rnacentral:lncRNA from 1 species
AAGAAAUAAGGCUUUUGGUUUUCUCAAUUUAAUUGUUUCAUAGUUUUUAUGCCGGGGCUUAUUGUAGCCGACUAUACGGUAUAGGGGUUUUCUCAUGGUUGAAGGACGUUCUGUACGGUUGCCUAUAACUUAAAUCCACUUCAUCUGAAUUUUGAUGGAUAUAUGUAUAUAUAUAUAUAUAUAUAUAGUUUAAUCUUAGUUGUCUCAUUGACAAAUAUGCCACA